UACAGAGGUCUCAAGCGUUGUUCGGAUUCAUUGGGCGUAAAGGGAGCGUAGGUGGCGUCGUAAGUCAGGUGUGAAAUCUCGGGGCUCAACCCCGAAACUGCACCCGAUACUGCGGGGCUAGAGUGCAGAAGGGGCAACUGGAAUUCUCGGUGUAGCGGUGAAAUGCGUAGAUAUCGAGAGGAACACCUGCGGCGAAGGCGGGUUGCUGGGCUGACACUGACGCUGAAGCGCGAAAGCUAGGGGAGCGAACGGG
rnacentral:rRNA from 1 species